GGAAGGUCGAUCAUGUGACCCAUCGCACGUAAUAACUGAGGAAAACCAAGCCCUAUACCAUAACAAAUCAAUGGUAAUAAAUAGUGACUGACGUGUUCCAGUCUGUACAUUGAUUGGAUAAACGAUCAGAUGGGAGGGAUAGAGAUAUAAAGUGCGUGAUUGAUAAAGUUCGUCCGACACCCCAUAGCUUCUGUGUGUGAUUGCUGAUGAUUAUAUUUGUCUUCUAAAUAUUGUGGUGUACAGCACUGCGAAAUGAUGAAGACUUUGAUCAUAUGUGGUGUUUUGUGUGGUUUAAUGGCUGCUGUGAACGGCGCUUGUAACAAACCGUCGCAGAAGCGUGC